rnacentral:lncRNA from 1 species
UUUUUUUCUUUAUGCUCCCUCCCUCCCUCGAGACCCUGUUGACCAACUGAGAGGGCUUGAUCAGUUACUAUAAGUAUUAUAAGCAAAGUCACCAACUUAGUUAUAUAUCAUAAUUCACUCAGGUGGAGAAUGAAAACACUUUCAUAUUAACACGCUGUAUUCUUUAAAGACAGACCUAAAGACUGUUUCAACUCAGAGGCUACACUGAACUUGACUCUUCUGUCAAAAAGAAAAAAAAAGUCUUUUCUUUAAAAGGUAGAAAAAUAAAAGAAUAAAUAAAUAUAAAUGUUAGGCAUGGCAUAUAGUGGAAUCAUCAACACAUUUCAGGGCAGUCACACAUGAAAUCCUUGUCUAUGGGAGGAAAUUCACAAGACCGUAAGACAAAUAUCUUUAAAAGCAGGAUACCGCCGGGUGUUGGUGGCGCAUGCCUUUAAUCCCAGCACUUGGGAGGCCAGCCUGGUCUACAAAGUGAGUUCCAGGACAGCCAGGGCUAUACAGAGAAACCCUGUCUCGAAAAACAAAGAAAAAAAAAAGCAGAAUACCAUCAAACAUUGUUGAUGGUGCCAAAUUAUGUCCUUUAACACACACAGCUACAGAACCAGCUAUUUGGAGCCUAUUUUAACAAUUCUAUGCAUCUUGCUGGAUACAGUGUCUUAGGGUUUUAUUGAAUAAUAAGACACUAUGUCCAUGGCAACUCUUUUUUUUUUUUCUUCCAGUUCUCCUGAAACUGGAGUUACAGACAGUUAUGAGCUGCCAGGUGAGUAUGAGAGUACUCUUAACUGCUAUGCCAUCUCUACAGCCCUCACAGCAACUCUUACAAAGGAAACCAUUUCAUUGGAACUGCCUUGAACAGUUCAGUGGUUUAGUUACCAUAAUGGCAGGAAGUAUGGUGGCACACAGGCAGAUGUGGUGCUGGAGAGGUAGCUGAGAGUUCUACAUCUGAAUCAUCACGCAGCAGGAAGAGAGAAUAAGCCACUAGGCCUGGCUUGAACUUCUGGAACCUCAAAGCCCACCCACAGUGAUAUACUUCCUCCAAAAAGGCCACACCUCUGACGGUGUUGCUCCCUGUGAACCUAUGGGAGCCAUUUUCAUUCAAACCACCAAAAGCAGUAAAGACUGAAGACGAUUAAUUCUGUUGACCUCUGUUCAUUACUUGACCUGUUGACCUCUAUUUGUCACUUUACCUACUGACUUUUGUUCGAUAGGU